AGAACGAACGCUGGCGGCAGGCUUAACACAUGCAAGUCGAGCGCCCCGCAAGGGGAGCGGCAGACGGGUGAGUAACGCGUGGGAACAUACCCUCCGGUUCGGAAUAGCUCAGGGAAACUUGGAUUAAUACCGGAUACGGCCUAGCGGCGAAAGAUUCAUCGCCGGAGGAUUGGCCCGCGUUCGAUUAGCUAGUUGGUGAGGUAACGGCUCACCAAGGCGACGAUCGAUAGCUGGUCUGAGAGGAUGAUCAGCCACAUUGGGACUGAGACACGGCCCAAACUCCUACGGGAGGCAGCAGUGGGGAAUAUUGGACAAUGGGCGCAAGCCUGAUCCAGCCAUGCCGCGUGAGUGAUGACGGCCUUAGGGUUGUAAAGCUCUUUCGCUAGGGACGAUAAUGACGGUACCUAGACAAGACGCCCGGCUAACUUCGCGCCAGCAGCCGC
rnacentral:rRNA from 1 species